rnacentral:rRNA from 1 species
AUUGAACGCUGGCGGCAGGCCUAACACAUGCAAGUCGAGCGGACGAAGGGAGAUUGCUCCUGGAUUCAGUGGCGGACGGGUGGGUAAGGCCCACGAAGAUGCCCUGUCGUGGGGGAUAACGUACGGUAACGGGAGCUAAUCUCGUAUCCGAUAAUAGGGAGAAAGUGAGGGUUCAUUGGUCCUCACGCUAUCUGAUGUGACUAGGACGGAUUAGCUAGUUGGUGUGGUAAAGGCCUACCAAGGCGACGAUCCGUAGCUGGUCUGAGAGGGUGAUCAGCCACACUGGAACUGAGACACGGUCCAGACUCCUACGGGAGGCAGCAGUAGGGAAUAUUGCGCAAUGGGCGAAAGCCUGAUCCAGCCACGCCGCGUGUGUGAAGAAGGUCUUCGGAUUGUAAAGCUCUUUAAUUUGGGAAGAAGAACAGUAAGUUAAACCCUUGCUGUUUUGACGUUACCAACAGAGUAAGCACCGGCUAACUUCGUG